AAGGAGCACAUAGCCGACUGCGAGCGAAUGUCUCGCACGGUUGCUCAUGGGUGGAACGUUGACUAUUCGGCACGCUCGGUUGAUGGCCGCCAGUACUGCACUUCGGUCGGUGGAAGACGGUUCAUGGGUCGGGUGUGUCGGGCACGUUGUUGGGUCCUGAGGGAACGGCCGUCAUGGUCGUUGCUUCAGAGAUGCCGGUCCCACUGACAGGCCUCCUGGUGAGCGUCGUAGGUGGGUGACUGGUCGUUGUUUGAGAACUGCACAGUGGACGCGAGCAUCUGU
rnacentral:misc_RNA from 1 species